rnacentral:rRNA from 1 species
AGUCAUACAGUCAGCAUGUCAGAAAUCAGCGGACUGAACACGUGGGUUAACGCUAGANUGGGGGAAAUUAACCUUCCGGGAAACCGGGCUAAUACCCGGGGGAUAACAUUUUGGCCACUGCAUGGUGCGAAAUUGAAAGGCGGCUUCGGCUGUCACUUAUGGAUGGACCCGCGUCGCAUUAGCUAGUUGGUGAGGUAACGGCUCACCAAAGGGGGCCAAAACGAUGCGUAGCCGACCUGAGAGGGUGAUCGGCCACACUGGGGACUGAGUACACGGGCCCAGGACUCCUAACGUGGAGGGCCAA